UCCACGCCCUAAACGAUGGAUGUUUGGUGUUGGGAGGAUCUCCUUUCAGUGCCGUAAGCUAACGCGUUAAACAUCCCGCCUGGGGAGUACGGUCGCAAGAUUAAAACUCAAAGGAAUUGACGGGGGCCCGCACAAGCGGUGGAGCAUGUGGUUUAAUUCGAAGAUACGCGAAGAACCUUACCCGGGCUUGACAUGUUCAUGAAAGCUUUGCGAAAGCAUAGCCCUCUUUAAGC
rnacentral:rRNA from 1 species